UGGCGUUCAGCACACGCGUGGACGUUUUUACGUCUUUCAGACGACGAGAAAAUGUCACAAAGUUACAUGUUUUUGAUGCACUUAGACAAUUUGGCAAGCUCCACAAGAAUCGUAGAAUAUUUUGGAAGUUUCCAGAUCGAACUGAGCCUCUUGGAGUUUUGUACAUUGAUACAAAACGCUCACUUCUGAACUUUAUUAAUUUCACAAUGAAUCUAUGCAAAGGAAGUUUCCAGAUCUGACUGAGCUACUUCAAGUUUUGUACAUUGAUACAAAACGCUCACUUCUGAACUUAAUGAAUUUUUCCAUGAAUCCGUGCAAAGGAAUCCUAGAAGUAACUUUGGUUUGUGUUCAUCGUCAUUGGUUACGGGCGCAACAGACAGGAUUGUAGCCAUCACCACACAAAAAAUCCUCAUCAGAUGACAGAACUAUUCCAACUUGAAAUUACUGCAAAUACUGGUUCAUUAAGAUGAUGAGGAGGAGCAGUUUCCACACAAGAGAUGCACCAGGGCUUUGAUGAAAACACUUAGAUUGCAGCGUCAUCAUGAAUUCAAACACGUCAUCAUCUCUUUACUACAAGCUGCUCGUACUUCAACUCUGUAAACUAUUCAAUACUAGGAUAAGAAAGCAUUGCGAAAGUUCCGUUGGUUAUUGCCGUGAUGCGUGUGUGUACGUCGUGUAGCUAGGCCGGUGGUUAACAAAAACACAACCACUAGAACUCGCAUUUUUCAAGCAUUUUCAAUAGUUAAAGACCUGAAGUCCCAUCCACUAUUCCACGCAAUCGACUGGAAGCGAAUCAGGGAGACAGAAGCCCCUUUCAUCCCAGCCCCAGAUGACAGAACGGACACCACUUAUUUUGACACUCGGAACAACAUGCAGCAUCUCCAGAUGUCCUCUUUUGCACUUUGACCUCUUGAAUGAUAGUGCAAUCCACAACUCAUCAACAGAAGUAAUGAAACUAUUCCAGGAUGGUGGUCAACUUGGUCCAGUGGUUAGACUGCAGGACUUGCAAUCACAAGGUUGUAGGUUUGAAUCCUACUAAGCUAACUGUGGU